rnacentral:lncRNA from 1 species
UGUUUUGAACUGAAGCUCGUUCCUGCCUCCCUUCCAGAACUCGUAGCCAGGGUCUCCAGCCAUCUGCUGGACUCUGCUCAGAACCUCCCUCACGCCCCUCAAAUCCAGCACAUCCCAAACCAGAGCCUUCUCUACACCCACCUUAAGGCAAUUUCUCAUCCUCCCUUAUCUCGGCCAGGGGUGCAGCAGUCACUGGGCCCACACAGCUGUGGACAACCGCCCUCCAAGGACAGAACCUGCCCACCUGAAGCUGGGGCCAGCGAGAACUUGCCCAAGUGGCUGGAGGUUCCCUCAGGAGAUUCAGUGGGGACCAGCAAGGAGAACAGGGCUGAGAACAGACUGAGCGAAAGGACUUUCAGCGAACACAGGAGAGGCCUGGGGAGAAGGUGUCUAAAGUUGGAGGCCAGCCAGAUGAAGGCAUGAGAAGAGGUGGUUAGUGACCUGCGGGGUCUCUGGUGUGAGUGUCCCCAGAUUAAAACACUGAAGAACCAUGGUGACGGUAGACUAGCAUGACUUUCCAGUCAUUGAGCAAAUAGUGAUUAAGCAGCAGUAUGAAUUGAUACUGCCCUGGAAAGGUGUCGUAUGGCAGAGAGGAGCAUCCUCUUUGUCCUUGCCCCAAACCGCCAUCCCAGCACCGAGCAUUCUCCUCGGUAUGGAUUAAGCCUCCCACACAAUUUUGUCAAAUGAAUGAGGAUCUUCAAUUCUAGCGAGAGGGCAAAUCCAACAUCAAGAAAUAGCAGAAAUGACCAUGGGACGACAUCAAAUUGAGUGUUAACACACGCUAUAGCAGGGAUGGACCUCGGGGACACUGUGCUAAGUGAAACAAGCCAGUCACAAAGACAAAGACCGUAUGAUCCUAUGAUUCCACUCUCACAAGGGACUUAGAGUCAAAUUCACAGACAGAAAGUAGAACGGCGGUGGCCGGGGACUGGGGGGUGGACGAGGACUUGUCUAAUGAGUACAGCGUUCCAGUUCGGAAGAUGGAAGGAGUCCUGGAGAUUGGUUGCACAACAUUGUGAGUGUGCUGAACACUACUGAACUGGACACUUAAAAAUGGUUAAGAUGGUAACUUUCGUGUCAUGUGUAUUUUACCACAAUU